rnacentral:lncRNA from 1 species
UUCCAUUGAAUUCAACACAAUUGACACAGAAUAUUGACCCAGACUCUCAUUAAUCAGUAUCUUUGUGGGUUAGACAAAACAUCCUUAGAUUGGGUGAAGAAUUGGGGUUCAUUCUCAGGGCUGUGUGGAAAUAGUAGAGGAACAUAAAGACUGAUGGAAAUAGAGAAAGCUCCAUUAAAGAAGCGAAAGCCUUGAUUUCGAUGACUCCCAAAACAAAGUUUUGAAGGAACUGAAGAGAUUGGAAUUUGGAAAUAAUUUUUCGGUUACGGCAUGAGAAGCAGGGGAUGUAACAUGGACCAAAUUAAUGAGGGUUAAUAUCGUAUCAUGAAACGUGAGGGGUCUCGAUCUUGUCAGGAAGAGACUCAUGAUUAAAAGUUUGAUGCACAAUUGGAAAGCUGGCGUUUCCUGCUUUCAAGAGACAAAAUUACAAGGAGAUAUAAAGGAUAUUACCAAAGAUUUGUGGUCAAAUAGCUGGGUGAAAUGUGCAACUAGAAGCAAGUGGCACAAGAGGGGGCAUUAUUUGCAUGUGUAUAACUUGCAAAUUUGUGGGCAAAACACAAGAUUUUAGUUGGCAUAUGGCAGGAGUCUAUACUCCAAAUAGCAGAUCAGAAAGGGAGG